UACGAAGGGGGCGAGCGUUGUUCGGAAUUACUGGGCGUAAAGGGCGCGUAGGCGGCCGAUCAAGUUAGAUGUGAAAGUCCUGGGCUUAACCUGGGGGACUGCAUUUGAUACUGAUUGGCUUGAAUUCGGGAGAGGAUAGCGGAAUUCCCAGUGUAGAGGUGAAAUUCGUAGAUAUUGGGGAAGAACACCGGUGGCGAAGGCGGCUAUCUGGACCGACAUUGACGCUGAGGCGGCGAAAAGCGUGGGGGAGCAAACAGG
rnacentral:rRNA from 1 species